rnacentral:snRNA from 1 species
AGGUGAUCUGGCUGGUGAUAUCUGUCCCCUCAUUGAUCGCUAGCAUUGAUUUGGCUGAUCUGGCUGUUUAAGGCCAGUGUCCCCCUUUCUCCAUGUAGGUCCCUCCCAAAGUUGCAUGAAGAGGAUGACCUUCCCCAAUAAAAGAGGACCAUUCUCCUGUCAAGGGUAUAUGAAUAGGUGUACUCCCUUGAAAGAACUUCCAAACUCUGACGUUUCAUUUGAGGUGAACCUGGGGGUCUUGCCACCUGGAGCUCCUUAAGGAAAGCCCAGUUUAACUUAGCAGACAAAACUUUUUUGCUUCUUGGU